UACGUAGGGUGCGAGCGUUGCCCGGAUUUAUUGGGCGUAAAGGGCGCGUAGGCGGCCACGCACGUCCGUUGUGAAAUCGCCCGGCUCAACUGGGCGGGGUCAGCGGAUACGGUGUGGCUCGAGCAAGCUAGGGGGCAAUGGAAUUCCCGGUGUAGUGGUGGAAUGCGUAGAUAUCGGGAGGAACACCAGUGGCGAAGGCGGUUGCCUGGAGCUUUGCUGACGCUGAGGCGCGGAAAGCGU
rnacentral:rRNA from 1 species